rnacentral:rRNA from 1 species
GAUGAACGCUGGCGGCGUGCUUAACACAUGCAAGUCGAACGGGAUCCUGCAAGCUUGCUUGCGGGUGAGAGUGGCGAACGGGUGAGUAAUGCGUGACCAACCUGCCCCAUGCUCCGGAAUAGCUCCUGGAAACGGGUGGUAAUGCCGGAUGUUCCCGCGCCCCGCAUGGGGUGCGGGGAAAGCUUUUGCGGCGGGGGAUGGGGUCGCGUCCUAUCAGCUUGUUGGCGGGGUGAGGGCCCACCAAGGCUUCGACGGGUAGCCGGCCUGAGAGGGCGACCGGCCACAUUGGGACUGAGAUACGGCCCAGACUCCUACGGGAGGCAGCAGUGGGGAAUAUUGCACAAUGGGCGCAAGCCUGAUGCAGCGACGCCGCGUGCGGGAUGGAGGCCUUCGGGUUGUAAACCGCUUUUGUUUGGGAGCAAGCCCUUCGGGGUGAGUGUACCUUUCGAAUAAGCACCGGCUAACUACGUGCCAGCAGCCGCCGUAA